UUUUUUUUUUGUAAAAAGUUAUUUUUUUCUACUAAAAUUAUUGGCUAUAGAAGAUCACUUUCCUCUCUUGAUUUUGCGUUUGACAUAGCGUGGAGAGGCACGAAAAAUACUUUAAAAAGAGAAAAGAGGUACUCACCUAUUAAAACGAUAUAUAUUUUGUGUGUUAUUGUCGAACAAUUUUUAUUUUGUUUUUAACUGCCCAUGGCAGGGAAGGGUCCGAAGGUGGGACCCUAAUCUCAAUCCUGUGGGUCUGAAGGUGGGACCCACUCCACUUUCAAUAAUCACCAUAUGUAAAUUGUAAUGCAAGAUAAAUUAAAUACUUUUACUACAUGUGACUGCUGACUUAUCCACAUUCCACAGAAGUACCAUAAAUUCAUGUUUAAUCAUCAUAAGAAAUUCAUAAGAAAUAGUACGUUAUUAGUUUCUUCGAACAGUCAAAAAAUUAAUAAGUUGACUGGACUAGACUGUGUUUAAUUCUCCACAUGGCCCCUAUUACAGAGAAUGUUCGGUUCUUGAGUGUGAAGUUCGAAAAUGGAGGAAUCUGGGACCUCAUACGCUUCGGCGUAUGGGGAGAUAAAGAAAGUGGUGCUAAGUUUCUUGAAUAUUCUAGUACCGGUGAUCAUGUAGUUGAAGAAGAAGAAGAGUUACUGCGCGACGACGAUGAGGUGGCAGAUCAUAGAUGGGUUAUAUUUGUGUCGAUUUUAGUGAGGAAGAUAUUGAAGGUUUUUGGCAAGCCAAUGGAACGGACUGGCUUUUUUCUGGAGUUUAUGCUGAAUCUCUUCUCUCUCAAUGGCAGCAGCUUUCUUGGCUUACUUUACAAUAUCUGGCAUGGUAAUGAUUCCAUAUUCAUUCACUUCUUUCCUUUUUCUUGAAGCUCUUAUAUAUACAUACAUGUACAUCUUUAGGUUAUUAGGUAUGCAUGUAUAUGUUUAAUGCGGACUAUAUAUUGAGAAUAUAAAGAGUUUUUAUGGUUAGUGCAAUUUAACCGGCUUAUUUAUGUUGAAGCGUGUGAUCACACAUUUCAACAUGGUAUUAGAGUAGACAGAGAGAUCCUGGUUCGAGUCUCACCACCACCCAAUAUCAAAAUAAAAAUUCACGUGCUUGGCUCAUAAAAAUUAAGAAUCAAGCCCGCACGUGAGUAGGCGUGUUGAAGACAAAAUUAAGUAAAUAAAAGUGUGUGACUCUCUAACAUGGUCACACAUUUCGACAAUUCUACCUGCAAGUAGCCUUCUUCCAAGUAACUAGUUCAACAGUAAUUUGUCAUGAUUAUAGUUAUCUGUAGUGACCCGAUAGCGUAAAAAAAAUGUUUUACAUUAAUGUUGAUGUAUAGAAGCUAAGCUCAUUUAAUAUAUGUAGAUAUAUUGAUACACUUAUACACCCCACACACAAACUUUACAUGAAUAUAUGAAUUAGUUUGUGUGUUUGUUAUAUAAUUUUACAUGUAUAUAGUGCUAUGUAGUUGAGGAUUUACAGUAAGAGUUAAGAAUCUUUGUUCAUGAGUUGUAUAACAAAUAUCACACGUUCCAUUUGGUGCCGAUUUUGCUUUCAAUGAUAUAAAAGUAGCUUUUCUAAUUCUGAUUCUAAAGUACAAAUGUUGCAAGGAAACAGGAAAGCUGAUUAUACCACAGAGAGGUUCUGAAACUUUCAUAAGUAGUAUUGGCCAUGUAGAUGGGCGCAUAAACUUAUACAAGACUGAAAUUUUAACCAAGGAAAUUGAUCAACCUGAUUUCGGACACAGACCUCUUAUGGACCUAUGUAUGAUGGCUUCAAAGUUGGCCUAUGAGAAUGAAAAAGUUGUUAGGGAUGUUGUAAAUCUUCACUGGAAGGUAUACUUUAGCUUGUUUAUUAUUUUCUUUACCAUUUUUGUGGUACUAUUUUUACAUUUGCUGAUCCAAGAUGAUGCUUUAUGUUUACAUUCUUUCCCACAAAACAGAUGCAUUUCGUUGAUUUUUACAACUGCUGGAAUGGUGAGAACUCAAGUUGUAUUGUUAAUUUUCAAAAGAUUUAACACUUGUGAUUGUAUGAAUAUUUGCUCUCUUCCUCUGUGUGUUUAUUGGGACAGAUUACCAGAAAGAGAGGUCCACACAAGUAUUUAUAUUAUGCGAUAAGCCAAAAGAUGCAAACUUGAUUUUGAUCAGCUUUAGAGGUACAGAGCCAUUUGAUGCUGAUGAUUGGAUCACUGAUUUUGACUACUCUUGGUAUGAGAUUCCGAAAUUGGGAAAAGUACACAUGGGAUUUUUAGAGGCUUUAGGUUUAGGAAACAGAGGAAAUACGUCCACGUUUCACGAACAACUCUUCGUUAAAAAUGCAAAAUAUACCAAUUCAGAGAAUGUUGAUCCAAACAGUGGAUCAGACCAAUCCUCCUCCGACUCAGAGCAGUCGCCAAACAAGACCGCUUACUAUGCUGUUAGAAACAAACUCAAAAGUUUAUUAAAGGAGCACGAGAAUGCUAAAUUUGUCGUUACAGGUCAUAGCUUAGGAGGAGCGUUGGCUAUACUAUUUCCUACGAUGCUAGUGAUGCACGAGGAAGUGAAAGUCAUGCAACGAUUAUUGGGUGUAUACACGUACGGGCAACCUAGGAUCGGGAAUAGGCAGUUAGGGAAGUUUAUGGAAGCACAUUUGGAACAUCCAGUGCCUAAGUACUUUAGAGUUGUUUAUUGCAAUGAUCUUGUUCCGAGGUUACCUUAUGAUGAUAAAACAUUCCUGUAUAAGCAUUUUGGUAUUUGCAUGUAUUACAACAGCUUAUACAUUGAGCAGGUAAACAUCAAUGCCUUAUUGUCUGCAUUUAUCUCCUUUUUUGUCUUCUGAAUGCUGCUGUAAAUUUAUUUACUUUUCAUCUCUCAGAAAGUAGAUGAAGAACCAAACAGGAACUUUUUUGGGCUGCGAUUCGUGUUACCAGUGUAUCUGAAUGCUGGUUGGGAGUUCAUUAGAAGCUUCACCAAUGGUUACAUAUAUGGAUCAGAGUACAAGGAGAGUUGGGAUUCAGUACUGCUUCGGUUUGUAGGCCUUUUUGUUCCAGGCAUUUCUGCUCACAGUCCAGUUGAUUAUGUGAACUCCAUAAGACUUGGAAGGGAGAGAAGUAUUCAAAUGUCAUCCUUUUAGAAAUUACUAUUACUUGAUGGAAAUGAAUCGAUAAGGUUGAUUUUAUUAUGAGUUUUGUACUGCAGCACUAGUAUCAAAUGUUGUUGAUUUUGAAGGUCUCUUUUAGCAUUUAUGUCUUGAAAAUAAACUCAUUAGAGUUUUUGUUAUCUUGAAUAAUGUUAUAUGUUAAUAAGGUAGGAGUACGGUCUUUGUAAUCACUACCCAUCCUAGACCCCACAUGUGGGAAUAUACUGGGCAUAUUAUUGUUGUUGUUUACACAUCAAUUUUAGGUGUUGUAAUGCAAGAAUUGUUGCACCAGUUAUGAGUUUUCGACUGAAUGUAUUAAUAAGAUGACAUUCAAAGGGUUGUAGAUUGGAUUUGUUCCUGUAACAUUAUUGAAUAAAUCUUAUUUCAAUGAUUACAUGUUAGAUAUGUUUGAAUAUGAAGAUGAAUUGCAUCAGUUGAGUUUUUAUUCUACAAAUCUUCAGCCAGGAAACAAGUACUUAUCUGUGAUCAGUUAAAACUGAAACUAAAAUGUUCAAAAUGGUUUACAUCCAUAUAUCAGUAUUCCCUUUUGGAUGUUACCUGCCUUAAAAAUAAAAUGAGAAAACUGUUCUUUCCGAAAAUCUGCCAAAAGAUUAUGAAAUUUCAGAAACUGAAUUAGUAAACAGAUUAAAUGCCCCUUAUUAUGGAGCUUUAUUAUCACAGAUUUGAUUUGGUUUUAGCUGUCAUAUAAAGUGGUACAACAAAUUAAAAGCAAGACACAAUGUCCCAGGAUUAUCUUGACUUCCCUCGUAGAAACCUCAAUUAGAAACACCCUCGACAUGGUUGGUACAUAAGAUCAUGAACAUCAUUGUCUCUUGACAUGUCUCUCGUGGAACGCAUGAAAUAAGAUUUACUCUGAGACAGCAUCAUUAGAUAAGUUUGUUAUAGGAAGAGAUGGGGUCUGUUGCUCGCAGAUUCAAACUGUAUAAGCCGUUUGAAUUUUGUUAAAGUCCAGAUUCUUAAGUCUUGCUACUGAUUCAAUAUGACCUCUCAAUGUAUACAACUCUCUUAGCCUGCAAAAAUUUUUAUACACAUAGAAGAUCAGCCAAGCAGUGCAUUCAACUGUCAGUUUGAAAGCACAACGUCCCAAAUAGAGAGAAGGUAAAACCUUACCGAACCAAGAAAUUUAACUUAGUCGUUGAAAAUUAACGUGAGACUUAGUGACGAAGCCAGUAAUUUUCCUAAGUGUGUCCAAACUUGAAAGAAGUAAAAAAAUUCCCGACAAAAGGUGUUCAAUCUAUGUUAUAUACCUCUAAAACCUAAUAUUUUACUUAUAUACCCAGUGUAAUUUUCUGACGAAGGGCCUUACUAGAGUGUAGCUUCGCCCCUGGUGAGACUACAUGUCAUUUAACCAUGGCUAAGUGAAAAAUGUGUGUAUGCAAGACACCUGUCUUUCAUUCAUUGGUUUGAUGUUAACGCCGGAUGCGGAUAAGAUCUGUCAAGACAAUGUAUUUAGGAGACCUGGUUAUUUCUGCUCGACGCUUAGCUUGUUCAGCAAUCAUAGAAGGUCCCCUGCUUUUAGUUUCAAACUCAGGUGAUAUUACCCCUUGUAGAGUUCUCACAGAAAGCACCCACUUGGCCUCUCUGUCUUCCUUUCCAUAGUCCUUUUUAGAUGUAAAAGCAGUCUAUCCAAAUCAAAAAAGAAAAGAGAAAUGAAUGACUGUAAACUAAGAAAUCAUAGUCUUUGCAUCUAAUGACAAUGAAAUCCAAAAAUUUUCUGCUGACCUUAUCAAAAAGUAGGUUCCAGGCUUCUCCAGUCAGACCAAAACGAACAAUGAAUUUAAUUAUAUCUAAGGGAAUAUAGAAAAUAAGACUAUAUAACCAUAUGACUCCUGCCCAUCCCCAGCCGAUGCCACUAAUUGACGCAAAUUCAAUAUGUGCAUAAACUGCUAUCAAGGUAGCAACCUGUACAAACAAAAAACAACAUGUUUAAACUCAAACAAUGAAUGGAGUUGGGAGUUAUAAAUUUGGUAGCCCUUACCAGUUGGGCAACCACAAAUGCAAACAUCAAAAGAAGCGCUGGUCUCUCUAUAAAUGACCAACUCUGACUGCGCGUGACAAAUAUUAGCGCCUGGCUAAUAAUACUGACUUGCAGAUAUAUGGCUGCUGAGAUUUCUUCAGUAUUUCCACUUAUAGAUUUUACAUGGAAGUGAGUCUACAUGUAAUAAAUAGUUAACUAAGUAAUUGAACGAAGUAACUGAAGUUAGAAAAACUAAGAAUAAUGAUACCUCAAAGAAUUGAGUGCUGUCUGCAAGCCAGUAAAACAACACAGUAACUAAAGCAAGAUAGGUGCCAAUCACAAUGCCAGUUGCAAAGAUCUCGUUAAGCUUCCAACUGUCGGGUCCUGGAGAUGGUUUAACGCGAUCUUUCGAAAUAGUCAUGAUAGUACCUAUCAAUAAAGCAGAGAAAAAUAUGAAUUGCAUCAUGACCUUGCUAUGCUUUCAGAUAGGUGUAAGUCUAAGGAGAAACAGACAGAAGCGAGGAACUAUGUGUGGUAAUAAGGAUUACAACAAGUCCUUCCCGAAUAAAUUCAUAUAAAAAAAAGGGCAGCCCGGUGUACUAAGCUCCCGCUAUGCGUUGGGUUUGGGGAAGGGCCGGACCACAAGGGUCUAUUGUACGCAGCCUUACUCUGCAUUUCUGCAAGAGACUUUUUCCACGACUCAAACCCGUGACCUCCUGGUCACAUGACAACAGUGGUGGACGCACGUGGUGGCAAACUGAACCCGCUUCAUCAAAAAAUAAUACUGUGUAUAUGUAUAAAUUAGGAUUAAAGUUGCGUAAAUUUUGUAUAAAUAUUUUAUUUGAACCCACUUGAUAACUACUAUUUUACGACUAAAGUUAUGUCCUUCUAAGAUUGAACCCGCUUGCACAAAAUCCUGGGUCCGCCACUGCAUGGCAACAACUUUAACAGUUACGCCAAGGCUCCCUUCCCCGAAUAAAUUCGUAUAAGAUUUUGAUUUUGGUGCUCCCUUAGUUAUCUUUCUUGUUUAAUAUGAACUUCUAAAAUAAAUAGCCAUAGGAUAAAACCUUACCAUCAUUUAGGAUUGCAAUUAUCAGUACCAUGAAUGGAGGAAAGUCAUAUUCCCAUAUUAGUGCCAGAAGCAUGAAACCAAGCUGCAGAAAACAUAAGGUUUAUCGCAUAUGAUCAUAAAGUUAAGACUAUCGAAAUAGCUAAAAAUAAAACAGUUAACAGGAACUCGAUGCUUUACCACAAUUCGUAUGGUUAUGGAGACAGCAUAAAUCUGCAUUAUUAGGAGUAGCAACCCAUUAAAUGAAGUUAGAACGGCAAAGAGAGCAAAUAAGAUCUAGACAGGUGUAUCGAAAACACACAAAAUUGUGGAUUUGACUUAACUGUAUAAUUUUUCAUUCUUUGAAAUAUAGCCCUGCUAGUCAAAACAGCACUGACAAUCACACUUAAUCCAGGCUCAGUCAAGACAAGAUCAGAAGCACUUCUAGCAGCAUCAGUAGCAUCAGCGACUGCUAUACCAAUAUCUGCUUUCUUGAGAGCUGGGGCAUCAUUUACUCCAUCACCAGUCAUUCCAACUACGUGCUCGUUCGCUUGCAGGAUCUUUACUAUCUCAUAUUUAUGUUCUGCGUAUAAUAUGGGAAGAAUAAUUGACAUGGAACAGAAAAUGAUUUUGAACAGCUAUAGCACUAAAACAGAAGCAGAAGGAGAAGUUACUCUAAACUUGAAGAAUGGAUGAUGCUACAAUACUGUUUUGAAAUUAAGGGGAAUUAGGUAUAGAACAACGUUGUUAUACUUAGUCGAAAUUACCAGGGAAUACACCAGCAAAGCCAUCUGCUUUUUCAAUGAGCUCAUCAACUGGUAAAGCUUCAUUUUCAUCCUUGUCACGACCAAACAAUGAAAAUGAGGGGUACAUAUUUGUUCCCAUUCCAAGUCGUCGGCCUGUUUCCUUUGCAAUGGCCAACUGGUCACCUGUUCUGGGCAUAAAACAAGUUAAAAUAGAACUUGUUCUACUAGCUGCCUAAAUAGUCUUUUACUUUUCAAAAGAAAAAUAUGUCAUGGACAUGAACAUUGAAUGUUCUUCUAAUGUUAUUCUUCUAUUUCGCUUUUCUUUUAUAUGUUCUAAUCUUUGUUUUAUAACUUUUUCUCCUGUCAUCAUAUACUUCAUCGUAAAUAUCCAUGCCUAUGCCAUUUGUAUUCCUCAGAAGAGAUUGUAGGAAGUUUGCUAAAAAGAAAGUAAAAUGAAAUUUGACAUGUUUCUGCUUUCCCCAAUUAGGUGAACCAUGAUAAAUAUGAGAACUAACCAUGUUAUUAUGUGUGCACAUUAGCCGAUUAAUAUUAAGUUAUAUACCUGUAAUCAUCUUAACGCAAACUCCUAAAUUGAGUGCUCUGAGGAUGGUCUCAGCACUAUCAUGCCUUGGUGGAUCAAACAACGGAAGCAAUCCACAAAAUGCCCAAGGCCCGCCAGGACUCUCCUUCGAAUUUUCUGGAAUUUCCUACAAUACUCAUAGCAUAUAGAAGAUAUAAUCUUUCUUACAGGAUAAUUGUAAUGCUGAGAAUAAGGAAUGUAUCAUAAAAUCCUAUACAUUGGCUCAUGUAUCUGGCUAGUUUUGAUACAAUAAAUACAAAGAUCAACCUUCCAUUUGCAUAAUUUGUUUUUGUCAAAUGUUUUUACAUACUUACUAAUCUCCACUUCAAUUUUCAUGGCAAACUGUAGUAACUAUAUUCAGUGACUUGUAAGUUGUAAUAGUAAAUAGACAAGGAAAACCAUUACCUGAAAGGCAACAGCUAGAGAGCGUAACCCUCUUUCGGCAAACCUGUCAAUGAUUGCAUGCAUUUUUGCAGCUAUCUGUUGCUUCUCUUGGCACAAAUCCAGUAUCUGAGUUUCAGGAGAAAAGGCAAACAUGAAAUAGAGGUAGUUAUAAGGGCAAUAAUCAUACCAAAUUCUCAAGGAGACGGAAACAUAAGCAGAAAGGAAACUUAUAUUAUUCACUACAGACAUGCAUCCAUUGGCUGAGAAAAGAGAAAAUAUGGCCAAAUUUUAUAGCUUCUUUCUGCUUUAAUUUUCUCUUGGCAAUUAGUAAUAACUCAAAACAGUUUCCCGGAAAACUACUAAUAAUGUAAGUUUAAUGUGAUUAUCAAAUAUUAGGUGCCAGUUACUUAGGCCAGAGAGAUACCGUUGCUUUGAGAAAGGAGGUUAACAAACUGAUCAUAAUAAACACAAAAACCUUAAUCAUUUAAAUGACAUCAGCACCUGUUCAGGAGCUCCUUUGCUAACUCGAUACCACUUGCCAUCUGAAUCAAUGUAGGUGAUUGCAGUCCGUUUAUCCACAGGAUUGAAUGGAAGGAAAUGCACUUGCCUGAUAUUUGCACGCGCCUGCAUAUACGAAUGUAACUAUAAUUUUUGUCGUAAUGCCCUAAAAGCUAUUCAAGAAACUCCGUCGCUAAAGAAAUGAUGAGGUCCCCAGAGGGCAUUAGGCUUCACCUCCUUUGGAUCAGCAAGCAUGUUGAUAAUUGCUGCAUCAAUAGCGUCCUGAUUUUCCAAUCUUGAUGCUCUAGCAGCAAGUAAUACAACCAUAUCUUUGUCCAUAUCUCUUUGGAACACCUGUUUAGGAAAGGUUUUGAUUAAAGAAUCCACAGGAAGAGAAGUCAGAUGAAAAAGUCGUGUACCUCAAUGAGAUUCCUAUCGACAGUGAGGCGAUUCAGGGUCAGCGUCCCUGUCUUGUCACUGCAGAGUACAUCCAUACCAGCCAUCUCUUCAAUUGCAGUCAUCCUUUUUGUAAUAGCUCCCUGAAGUUAACAAGGACAAAAAGUAAAAAAAUUAUUAUAGAGUACAGUCCGAAGGCCAAAUUACACGUUAGCUCUUGAGAUCAUUCGGAUGAGAUGUGAUGCAUUAUUAUUAGUCUAGAGAAGAUAGACUAAUUUCAUGACAUUUUCAGAAUACUGACAAGCGUGUACCUGUUGAGAGAGUCGAUGGGAGCCAAUAGCGAGUGUAACUGAUAGGACUGUUGGCAUAGCUAUUGGUAUUCCACCAAUUAAGAGAACAAGAAGGUUAUUAAUUCCAGUCCUAUAUGAACGACGCUGAACAGCGUACAUGAUAAUGAUUUCAAGUAUCAUUCCCACAGCUAUUGAGCAUAUGCAGAAAUUUCCAAUGGAAGCAAGGACCUGCAGUGAAGCGUGCAAACUUUUAAAUCAGGAAAAACUCGAGUAGAACAGCUUCUAUUCUAUCUCUACUCUCGGCUUCCUUCUCAGCAUAACAUGAAAUUAUCAAAAUUGAAGAAUUAAGAAAGAACUAAGUAUCACUGAAUUUUCUUUUCUAACCUUCUGGAAGUGACCACUGACUUCAGUAGAGUCAACGAGAUGUGCAGCUUUUCCAAAGAAUGAGUUAACUCCAGUGGCGAUUACUACAGCUUCUAUUUCUCCAUGUUUACAAGUAGAUCCAGAAAACACUUCAUCUCCUGUCUUUUUCGUGACGGGUAGAGAUUCCCCAGUAAGAGCUGACUGCAAGAAAACCGUAUUAAUUAACCAUACUUAAGUAACAAAAUUAAGUAACAAAUUCCAUAUUCCAAUAAACUAAAAGGCUGUCAUGGUACUAUUUGUCGAAUAAGGAAUUGCCUGAUCAACUUUCAAUGGAUCUCCUUCGAGCAAUCGAGCAUCUGCAGGGAUGAUAUCACCGAGCUUUAUGCUAAUGAUGUCUCCUGGCACUAAAAUAGCAGCAUCUUUUUCUUGCCACCUCCCAUCUCUAAGAACCUAUAUAUAUAUAUAUAUAUGCAGAAAGGGGAUAUUUUACAUUUUAAUUAUUUAGUAUAACGCGACAAGAUCACUGUGACAAGAGCAAACCUUAGUUCUAGGAGCUAAAUGUGCCAUUAGAGCUGCUGCAGCAUUUCCAGCAUUAUUUUCCUCUAUGAAACUAAUUGUUGAAUUUAUCAACAACAGACAAAAUAUACCAACAAAGUCCUGCCAAUCAGUACCUUGCCCCUGAAAUUUCAUGAACGAAAAAGAUACUCCGAUAAAGAUCAGUAUUGCAAGAAAAGUUGUAACUGAUCAACUGCAAAUCAAUUUGUAGUAAACGUAAACUCACUCCGCCAUUAGCUAGUCCAAUAGCCAUGAUUGCUGCUGCUUCCAUCACCCAAGACAAUGGAUUCCACAUGAAACUAAGAAACUUAAUAAACUUGUUCUCCUGCAUCAUUAUAUUAGUACCACUUUUAUGAUCUAGACAAGCAUUCUACUUUCAAAGGCCAACUUUAAAAUUAAAGCUGAAGUAGAGCAUUAUUAAUGAUUAGUUCUAUUCAGUGUUCGACGAUAACAAAAUGUUUUAGAACAAAUAGCUAGCAUUCGCAUUAUUCUCAUCUUUUUCUUCUGUGCAGCAAUAUAGUAUUAAUUAAAAAAACCACAAAAGUUGGCAAGGUGUACCAUUGUCCUUAUUUAGAAACUUACUCGCUUCUCUUCAAGCUUGUUAGGUCCAAAAAUGUUGAGUCGUCGCUCUGCAUCUUCAGCUGAAAGUCCUUCCUUCGAUGUUAUCAAUUGUUCGAAAACUUCUUCAAGUGGCAAGUUUUCCUGCAACAAGUCAUGUGAAUACGAUUAAUAUGGAACUGCUAAAGAUGGAAAAAACGCAAGGAAUGAAGUUGUGAAGUUAUUUAGGUGUCCAUAUAUCAAUGUUAAGAGAUACUAUUAUUAAACUCAAGUGUUGUCUUAAUUACCAGAUCAAUCCCUUCCUUCAUGAAAUUUUCAGGACCUAGCAAUGGUUUCUCCAGAUCUUCAGCCAUGUUUACUCUAUGGAAACUGAAAUUUACAAAUAAGUAAAUAAUAUCUUUGAGGAUGAGGAAAAAUAAAAGCAUAUUGAGAAAAAACUCCAUUACCAUGUCCAGCAUGAUUGAUCUAAUGCAGGUCGAUUAUGAUAUUUAGCUAGUCCAUUUGUUCCGAUUUAUGUGGCACUCUUUCUUUCUUAAUUUCUAUAUUCAGAAACUCCUUAAAUUUGAACUUCCCAUUUUACACCCAAUGACAUGCUCUUAUCGCCACACAAAUGUCAUGGCAUAACCAAGUUCUAAGGGUACCUUUGGUACGUGCCAAAUAUAUAUUUAUUUCUUAAACUCCGUGCGUAAUCAUACACUACAAUUUGUGCACAAUUUUGUGCAUAAGAAGAGGAAAGAAACAUGGAUACACACACACAGUCACACGCACACGCGCGCACACACUAAAUCACUUCUCCAUAAAGUGUGAAGAAAAUAAUACAAGCUAUUUCCAGUGAGAACUUCAUGCAUAUGAUUGUAGCUGUAAAUGGCACGGAAAAAAAGAACAAAUAAUACCUAGAAAUUUCAAAUCAAGUGUAAGACAUUCAUCUUUUAUUAUGCGUAUGAAGAUGACUCUUACACCAUCAAAAUUUAAAUAAAUAUUUAAAAAAAAAAAAACUUGAUAUGAUCACUUACUUUAGAGUUUAGAGUGAAAAAAGCAGUAGGCUUAUGAGACUAGUUUCUGAAUCAUGGGGGUUAUUGUGAAAGGAAUAUUGUCGCUGUUACUAUAUGCCUUUUGGUGUUAUUUAUUAAGUACAUAAAUAAAUGCUAACCAUCUUUCACCACUUAACUUUCAAACCAAAUAGUCCACUUUUAAGCCAACUUAACAACCUUUUUGACUCCCGCCUAUAAUUAAUUUCCUUAGCAUUUAAACCUGUCAUGGUCAUUCCCCUUCGCUUUCCAUGUUUGAAAGUGCUCUUGGAGGUAAAUAGGGCGAAGCGCAGCAAUAACCACUUUUAAGCCCGCUAUUUAAAAUAUAUUCACAAUUUACAAUGUAUUUAAAGAUUAGCCAAUUCACCCAAACUUCAGGACUAAGUAUCCUGAAUUUGGAAAUUCAGGACUUAGUGUCCUGAAAUUUUGAGCUGCUAAUUUAAAAUUCAGGACAUAAGGUUAUGCUACACAUUUCUCAGGUGCAAAUAUUAUAAACUUAUGGGGAUGAUAAUAUCAGGAAAAUGAAGGCAAUUUGGUCUUUGCUUAUGAACGAUUUCUUAGACAGAACACCAACAUGGAGGCUGAAACUUGGGCUUUGCUACAUGGUUUUAAAUGAUGUAAUUUGGAGCACGGUCUUCCUUGUAUUUACCUAUAUAAAUUUGAUUCUAUUACUUUUACCUUACCUUGUUCACUUAAGUAAUAUUGUUACACCAAUUUGUAUGCAGAAUAUAAAGCGAAGUUUGUAUGCCAAUCACCUCUUCUUAAAUUGUGCAACACUAACAGCUUGUUUGGAUGGUUGUUAUUCACCGUUUCAUAAUGUAUUGUAUUACACUGUAUUGUUUUGAUAUAUACAAUGUUGGGAUAGAUUGUAUUAUUUGCCGUUGAUGGCAUGCACCACCAAUAUGAAGAAUAAAACUUGCAAUAUUACAAAGAAAAAGUAAGAUACGAGAUAAAAUUAUUAUAUAAAAAGGUAGGGUAAAAGAUAAAAUAAGAUUAUUUAAUAAUAAGGAAGGGCAAGAUGAGAAAAAAUAAAUAAGGUAACGACGCGACUAUACCGAAUCGGCCGUUCCAUAAAGUGGCACUUUUCGUCGUUAUGUAACGACGGAUUUAACUAUACGAUACAAUAAAAUUUAAGUAACAAUCAAAACAAACAUUGUAUUUAAAGUAAUAAUACGAUACAAUAUACAUGUAACAACCAUCCAAACAAGCUGUAACGUUCUAUCCACUUUCCUGAGGGAUCAAAUUCGAACAGAUAGCUCGGAUAGCAUAAUAGCAUCGUUAUGUUAUGUAAACAAACCAAUCUUCUGCUCAAAUCCUCAAUGGUACUAAUUACUUGAUCAACUAAGGGAUAUGUCAAAACAACAACAGUUACAACAACAAUACCAAUUGGCAAUUACAUCAACAGAGCAACUGAACACCUGGAACAUGUGAAAGAGGUAACAGCUGCUAAUUGGGAAGUACCUAAUCUAACCAGCAUCACUGGCAUAUUUGAAUAGUAACAUCAUUUAUCAAUCCAAUCUUUGAAAAGAAGCAUCAUAUAUAGAGGGACAUUAAAAGCUGCAACAAUAAUAAUUAUACUUAAUGUCCGCACCAAUCUCCUAAUUACCAUCUUUGUCUUUGAUUUGUUUGUCCGAGGCUGUGCUUUUACCGCGGCAUCUAAUCCUAUAUGUAAAGUCACAUCCGUGGGAAUUGAGGCAUCUGUUUCCUGUGCAUUAGGUUUUCUGGCAACUGACCGCAUGAUAGCAUUACCCCUGCAUUGGAAUAAAAGGCAUCUAAACUUUUGCAAAGAAGAAAAUUUAUAUUUCUAUGAAACUUGACCAUCAAAUAAACUAAAAUAAAGAGGCACCACAUAGAGUACAGAAGUAAGAAUGAGAACCAUUGUACUGAAGUGACCAUCACAUGGAUAACUUUCUUAUCAUGCAGAAAUCAACAACAUAAAAUCAAAUUUCUGAAAGAGAAAAAAUUGAAGGACUACUACAUGCCAAAUUGCAGCAUGGUAUACUCCGCCAUUGGCAGUAGACUUAGACACAGAUUGCUACAGGUACAUGGGACUAGUGAUAAUGCACAACUGGAUCCUAACAAAGUUCCACCGUUCAUCAUUUAGGAGGCAACUUCGAGAAGCUUGGAUGAAUGUUGAGACAGGAGUAACACAAGCAUGCUUAAGUAAAUAGAAAAAGUACUGGUCCUUGCUGACAGAAACUUACCGUUCUACCAAAGCGCUUUCACUUGAGCAUGCAGAAGAAACUUUAAAGGUUUUCUUUAUAAGGUGCAUCGAUCCUUCUGCAUCCCAAAUCUCCUCAUAUUCAUAUAUCUCAUCUUCGCUUUUAAGUUUUGUCCCACCUCCAGAAAUGCUAGAACUAAUUAGACUUCUAAUAUUCUUCAGAAAUUCACCAAGAUAGUGUGGAAAGAGCACCCCAUUUGUUGGCCAAAGGACGGCAAUAAGAACGGUCAUGACAAACAGCACUAGAUACCUGACACAUCCACAAACAACCUUUAACAUUACAAGAAACAAGGUUUAUAAGAUAAAUAUUUUUUAAUCUCAAUAUACUGAAUUACCAAAUAUAAAUGUACGUCUGCACAGGGAGAAAGCAAACUUUGGUGGAAAUUGCCUCCUCUGCCAUUGAUCCGGCUGGUAAGAUAAGAUUACUUGCAGAUAAUAGCAUGAAAGAUGGAAACAGAUUUCCCAUCUGCCAGCUUAUGGUCCCUAGAGUGUGCUGCACAACACUAUCAAUCAAACACCAUCUAGUCAAUACAAACUACUUUUUCAAUUGAACAAGGUACAAUACCUCUUUUACAGAACCAUAUUUGGAUCUGUGGGUUACUGUACACUGAUCAUGGUCAUGCCCAGAAAGAAUUAGUGCCUGCAGAAACUCGAAUUAAUGCAUAGAAAUUUCUUCCUUUUUUAUUUGUUUUUUUGUUUUGGACGUGCAUCAUAAAAUGAAAGGAAAUACUUGCAGGUUUUUUUUUUUGAUAAGGUAAAUUGUAUUAAUCAAAAGGGAGAAAAAACUCCCGUAUACAAGAAGUAUACCAAAAAGUAGAAAUACUUACAGGUUUGAUAGACUCAAGCAGGUCAUUUGUUCCGUUUUCAGUAAUAUAAUUUUGAUAUCUGCAAAUGGAAUUGUAACCAAGUCUGACAUAAACAUCCAUGCGUACAAACACGGUAAAUCCAUACUAAGCCACUACAGUGAGACUAAGAGCUUACAAUAUUUCAUUAUCACGAGCAGCACGGUUGAUUCUCUGAAAUAAAUAACAAAUAUGUAAUUUUUUAUUUAUAAAUAUGAGAGAUAUGUUAAUUAACCAUAUUACAAAAAAAAUCACAAUUUUCUCCUCAAAAUAGCAAUAAUCAAACAGAAAAAGAAUUUUUGAGGACUGUUUAGGUUCUCGAGAUUCUCAAUAAGAAUCAUUUAGGCUCUCGAGACUCAAUCGCUUAACUGGAGAGGAAUGGUACAUGAAUGGCAGUUUCCAGACGUGGAAAUCCUUCCCACUAUAAAUAGAAAAAGCUAAGUUUUUCAAAGAAAGGCUAAAUGUUACCUGAUUAAUGAUUGAUGAUGAACGAUAUGGACCGCAUGCAGUUAGACCUGGCCGAUACAAUGGUAUAUGAGUCAAUAGAACCCUUGGAUUCGAAGAUGGAUCUGCACAGAGAAGAGCAAAAUGAGCCGAGGGUCUUACACGUAAGCCAAAUUCAAAACAUAGAUGGAUAGUGAUUGGCAGAACAUACGCUCUGAGACAUUUUUGACAAAAUUCCAUAUGGCAGAAGUUACAUUGUUUUGGGGAUUCCCUGGAGACAAGAUAUCUUGCUGUGAGUCUUUUCAAAAUAACAACACCAUGAAUCGAACCAACAGAGUCUCUGUUUCAUGCUAACUGAUAGGAAGAAAAGCAAAUCAUUAAGGUGGUGUUUGGUUGAAAAUAUCCGAAAUUAAGUUUGCCAAGAAAAAAGAAAUUGAAUAUUUUCAAACAUCUUUUUUUUUCCCUUUUGGUACCAGAAAGUUGCACCCAAGAAAAUAACUUUUGCACUAGCGGUCCGAAAAGAGGUUUAUGGAACUAAUUACUGCCAGAACUAAUGUGAAGAGGAAGACAUGAACUUGGCACGAAAUUGUAAAAAAACUAAAGAUAAAUGAAUUACUCUCUCCGUUCCAAUUUAUGUGAACAUGUUUGACUGGACACGGAGCUUAAGAAAAAAUAGGACUUCUGGAGUUUGUGGUCCUAAACAUGUCAGAAAAGGGUCCAAAGUAUUUGUGUGGUUAUAAAAGCUUCUCAUUAAGGGUAGAAUUGGAAGUUUAAACUAAAAUAUUUCCAAAUUUAGAAAGGGGUCAAUCUUUUUGGAACGAACCAAAAAGGAAAUAGGUUCACAUUAACUGGAACGGAGGGAGUAGCAUUUUUUAGACACUGCAUUGGUACAUAAAAAGGAUUCAAACGAAUUGGGAAGCACUGAAAUAAGAGAGAGAAAUCAGGCUACUAUACUCUUGAACACUCAAAUAUGGAUGAUACAACUUUGACACUGAAAACAAUGAGAAUAGUUUAUCUCUAAACAGUAACUGUUGAAGUCCCCAAAGUUUUAUAUACUAAAAAGAGAUCCAAAUAAAGUGCAGAUUGUGAAAUUACCAUCCAAGGUUUGUGCAUCGAUUGCGAUGAAAUCUACUUUUCCAGCUGUAAAUUGAUAGUUCCUUGCACCAAAUGCUCUCUCAUAGCGUCUGAUAACCUGCAUUAUGGUGUACACAGAUAAGAACCGAAAUAGAAUAGGAGGAAAUGACGCUUAGACUGCUAAAUGGCUGACAUAUUUUAAGCAUAAGAAUCUAAAGAAAUCAUCUACUGCCAAUAAAACAGAUAAAAAGAUCCAAGAUAUAAAUGUCAGAGACUGGAAGUAGGUCUGGAUCAUUGCUGAUUGAACUAUGCAACUUGCCAAGCUCCCUAUGUCUUAAAACAUAGUGAAGAUAAGCACUUUUCUCUUGGCUGGGAAAGGCAACCAGCAUCCCUUAAACAGUGACGCAACUGAUUUGCAGAUAAAUCAAAUUGGAAAAAAAGAAAUUGAUGGCCGUCAUGAUAUGUAAAGACAGUCAUCCCUUCUCCAAAAAUGAAAGAUUCAUAAAGCUAAAUGUGAAAACUUCCUUAUUUAAGAAAUUAUAUUUGAAAGAAAAAUAAAGAUAAUACUGAAUAUUCUGCUUCUUCGACCAAGCAUGAGCAAUAAAUGCACAAAAAUCUGUAUGUCAAAGUUUCCAGUAUGCAGAUAUCCAUAGGCAAGUGACAUCACAAAAUAGCUAUCCAAAUGGAAGCAUGAUUUUGUCUUAUAGCUUAAAACCUUGAACUCUAGUAGCAAACUAUAACUUCUGGUCAGAAUCAUAAGUUGAUUUCUAUAGAGACAUUUGAUGCUCAUUGAAACAAAGCACUGAUACCACAGGCAUUGAAGUUUCUUUGGGUUUCCUUAAGCAUCUAUAAACACAUCCAAUUUACCAUCAACAGCAAAAAGUAGAUGACCGUUUCUGAAUAUUCUUCAUGUUAUGAAUAAUCAAUUAGUUAACUGUACUGAGUAAUCGGAUGAUCACCACUGCAUUAUUGAGUUCAGUCACCCAACCCAAUGAACUAUUGAAUUAUCCCAGUUAUUCAACUUAUUCUGCUAUAGAUGAUGAUGCUGUCUCCAGAUCCUCUCAAUGUGAAAACAUGGCACUCAUCAGAACUUUUGGUUGUGGAGAAUUUGGGUGGGUCAAAAUCCCUUUAUAAUUAUGAUCAACAUGGUAACUUGCUACAGGCAAUCAUGGACACUAUUCCAGCUCACAGCUAAGUUUUCUUCCAAAAUUUCCUAAUGUGGUAACUGAGCUCGCGCAAGCCGGAGCUCGCCAACAAACAUUUCUUCAAUAUACAUCGUACAACGAUGAUCCUUUACAUAAUAGGUUUGUUUCAUGUAACAUUUUAGAAGAAGAUUUAUCUCUAUUCUUCCAGAAGCUUAUGAGUAAUUGAUACACGAUGAUCCACUACAUAAUAGUUUUGUUUCAUGUAACAUUUUAGAAGAAGAUUUAUCUCCAUUCUUCCAGAAGCUUAUGAGUAAUUGAUACAUGAUAAGAAAUGGGAUAUGAACAAGUCAAAAAGCAUAUUAAAUUCAAAUUUAGCUUAGACACUCAAAUAAUAUGUUCUGAGUAUAGAACUCUAUCUGAACAGUUAACACACCUCUGGCAUAUGCGAGUGAAAAGCAGCAUACCCUAUAUCAUGGUUUCCAGCAAGGUAGUAAAGCUUUAUGUUUGCAGUUUGCUCAAGCAUAUCAAUGUUAAAUAUAUGCUUAAACCGGCUCCAGGAUUCCUGCCAUCUAUCAAAUUAAAUAAAUCAAAGCUCAAAGCAGAAGAAUAACUGGAGAACAUUCAGAUAGGUUAUGCAUGAAAACAACUAAAACAUGACUUUUCUAGAAGGAUCAACUAAUAGGAUUGGGCCUUGAAUUAAUCCAGAUAAUAAUGUGAAAAGGGGAAUGCCAUGGGAACUUGUUUAUCAAAGCCAGGUUUUGAUCCUAAUCCAAAAAGUAGUUUAACUUUUUUUUAGGAAAGACCUUCAGGCAGAACAUUAAGCAUAUACAACUUAGCAAUUAGUACUUACUCUUCAUCAGACAGAAAAGGCCCACCAUCAAAAUAAUCACCUAGGAACAGAAUCACAUCUGGUUUGAAAGGUAAAAUAGAAGAUAGGAAUGCCCUACGCAUGUACAAAUCUGUAUAGAACUGAGCAGCUUCAAGUGCAAGGGAUUUCGGGGCAAGAUGAAGAGAGGUUCUAUCCAUGAGCUGUCAAAAUGUAAGAUAUCUUGUGAAUAUGAAGUCAAAAUUGCAAAGCACAGAAAAAUUAUAAAAUAUGCACAGUAAAGCCACCUUUAGUUGCAGAAGGAAUACCUGAGGAUCAGUAACAACAGCAAUUUUCACAUAGUCACGUUGAUGAUCUACUCCAUCCCUCUAAAAUCAAGGAGAAGAAAGGUUAGUAUGCCUGAGGGGUCUUUUUUAUUUUGAUUGAUGGUAUAGCAAUAAUAAUACAAAAUCCCACAUAACAUAGUACAGUGUUUGGUUGGCUGCAUAAGGAAAAAACAAAUAACUAAUACAGUGUUUGAUUGGUGGUAUUAAGCAAAACCCGUAUUAAGUUAUGCAGUAACAACAACAACAACCCAGUAUAAUCCCACUAGUGGGGUCUGGGGAGGGUAGUGUGUACGCAGACCUUACCCCUACCCUCGGGUAGAGAGGCUAAGUUAUGCAGUAACUUCUGUAUUAUUUUAUACGGGAUAGAAUGUAGAAUAAGAAGCAUUAGUAAUGCAGGGAUUAAACUAUUUAAAGACAAGAAUCUCUUUAUUAUUGAUCGCCGCAUAACAAUCUAUUCAGUAGUAAUCACCACACAAUCAAUAUUUGCAUUAUAAUCCCGCACAACUAAAACCAAAAGCCCCCCCCCCCCCCCCUAAGUGUCUUACUAUGCUAAGUUUUGGCACACGCUAAGCAGGAAAAACUAUUACAAUAGUUUUUGCACUAAAAAAAAGCUUGAAUGCUUAUGAAGGGGACAAGCCAUUAAAAUGCACAUGUUAGUACUUAGAUAAUUAAGAAGUAGACUUCAUAAAGGGGAAAGUUACCAGCAAAGCAAUACAUGCCUUGAAUCUUACAAAUGCGUAUUAUGAAACUUCCCCCAUCUAGAGCUAUCAAAUUAUUGCUCGAAAUUAACCACAGAAAUUUCCUCAUGAAGGUAUUUAGCAUACAAAUUCCACCACUCAUACAUGUACGUAUAAGUUAACUUCCCCACAAGACUUCUUAAUUUUCCUUUUAAUUUUUUAAACACGCCAGCCUUUUUUCAAAGCUGGAUCAAUCAGGAGCCUUUGACUUGCUUGGAAUCUCAAUGAGUACACAAGAAUGAAAAUAGAGGAAUUUUCAUAAAACACUACAAUUAGAGCCUAAUUACCAUACAUAACAAUAGUUUGCCUAAUUACCAUUCGUAGUUACUGUUCAAUUAUUACCAGCUUGUAUCAUUUGCAUUCAGACGCACAACGAAUACAACCUGUAUCAAGUGUAUUUGUACGCGCAACGAAUACAACUUGUAUCAACUAUAUUCGCCGUGCCACGAAUAUAACCAAGACAAAAUACAAGUAUGUAUAUAAAGGAUACAACCUAUAUCGACUGUAUUCAUUCACACAGGGAAUACAACCAGUGCGAAAUACAAAAAGAGAGUCGAACUCAAGAGCGGACGCUCUAACCAACUGAGCUACGUGAGCUUGUUGCUCUCUUGUUUCAGUUCAAAACAAUUGAUCUCUUGUUUCAGUUCUACAGGUAAAUUUGCUAUAAAAUCCAAAGCUAUUUCUGAAAGCAUAGCUACGAAUGGUAAAUAUAGUGUAUAUGUUUGCUAUGUGUAAUUUUUCAAUGAUAAUACCAUUCACUGCUCCCAAUAGCAAGGAAGCAGUGCACAAGUACAAAAUGGAAGGCAGAUGAGUUGGGGAGUUUUGGGGGGGGGGGGGGGGGGGGGGCGAGGACAUUGUACAAUUUAAAGAUGAUGACAGUUGACAAGGUGGGUUUAACUAAAUUGCAUAAGCUAAUUCAACAGAUCAAUUGGGAGCAUAAAUUUCUUGUCUAUUAGUAAACGCGGAGCUGAGUAAUUUCCUGAUCUAAAUUUAUGCUGCUUAAGAUGAAUUAGUCUUAAAUCCAGCUCAAGUCAAAGGUAAAGUCAGUGAAUUCUUAUUUCAUCAAAGUUUCGAGCUAUAAAGUUAGAAUAGUACUUCGGCUUACCGUAGAAGGAGGAAGGUGAGGCCAAGAACAGGACCAAAGAUAAGGCACCCAAAAUGCGAACAUCUCGCCAUAGAGGAGGCUCACUGCCCAAACUAAGCUAAGAAAAGCUGCUACCUUUAACAUUUCUUCUCUUCUUAGCUGAUUGGAUCAAUUAGUGUUCUCUACUUCCAUUUGUUAACUACCUCGUAGUCGUAGAUCCUAAAGUAAAAGCUCAGAGAACUGGACAAAAGUUUUGUUGUUCAACACUUGACUCUUACCCGUUAAUGGUGAUUUCUUUUAUUUUUUUCGGUCCUUGUUAUUUCCCAUUUGGACAAUAUUUAGUUAGCAGUUGAAACAACCACUAUUUCAACAAUAUUGGAAAUUAAAGUUGAAAUAAAGUAACUAUUAUAUUAGUACAUGAGUUUUACUUGAAAAAAUUAAUAACUCGUGAGUGAAAACUAUUAUUUUACUUGAAAUACUCCUAUGUUCUCAAACAAAAUUGUUAAUAGUAAAUUUUUAUGUCAAGUUAAAACUGAAAUGAAGUAGUAAACUAAUAAUUAAUUUUACGAAAGUUAUUUCAAUAUUUACAAAUAAUAUUUGGUCUGAUGUUAUGUCCUAAAUAAUAGAGUUCGAAGUAUCAAAGAAAGAUAAUUGUGUAAAGUAAGUAUUAAAUUUUUAAUCUUUUUCGAAAUAAAAAUUUCUAUUAUAACAUCCUGUUAUAAAAGUAUUUGAUUUCCCAUUCAGCAGUGUCAAACCAGUUUGAUGAGGGGUGUAAUAUUAUCUGUGCUGGAUAACGUUUUAAAUUAUAUGAAAAUAAUAAAUAAUUUACUUACUAUUUAUUAUUUAUUCUUUGGCGGCCAAUAUAUUAUUGUUUAUUUUUAUAAUAGAAAUAAAUUGACAUCUUAUAUAUAAUAUUUUAGUAUGUGAUGUAAUAAAAAGUUUUAUCUUAAGAUGAUUAAUGUUUUAAAUGAUUAAAAAUCUAAUGAAGUACUUAUUUUAAUAGAGAGAAAACGGAAUUCAUUUAAAUCACAUCUAUAUCAUAUCAUACUUAUAUUAUAAGUAUAUUAUAAGUAAAACACGAGCUGCUACAGAGGAGCUCCAGUAGCUCCAGUCGGAGGGCAGGCACCUGAGGUACCUGUUGCGGCACCAGCCCUCCAGAAUACUCUAGCCCAGUUUCUGAGCAUGUUCGGCACCUUAGCUCAGGCUGGAUUGAUUCAACUUGCUCCUGCCACAUCUCAGGCCGGGAGAGGAGCACAGACUCCCGUCACCGGUACUCCAGAGCAGCGGGCUCAGAUCGACCAGGUUCCAGAGAUUAUACCGAUGCAGCCGGUAGCUCCAGCUCAACCCGAGGUUAGGGCAGCAACUUCUUAGGCUGAGCAGCUCAGACUUGAGAGGUACAAGAAGUACCACCCUUCUACCUUCAGUGGAUUGGCGUUAGAGGAUGCCCAGGGUUUUCUGGAGAAGUGUUACCGUAUUCUCCGUACUAUGGGUGUAUCNNNNNNNNNNNNNNNNNNNNNNNNNAGCUUCACUUAUAUGGACUCAGUUCUCAAACAUAUUUUUUAGAGAGUAUGUCCCUCAAAGCCUCAGGGACUUAUGGUGCGCGGAGUUUGAGUAGUUGCGCCAGGGUGCUAUGACUGUGUCAGAGUGUGCAGUUCAUUUCAGUGAUUUAGCCCGACAUGCACCGGCCUUGGUUGCCACAGUUCAAGAGAGGGUUCGUCGGUUUAUUGAGGGACUCCACCCCAGUAUUCGGAUCAGUAUGGCCAGGGAGUUGGAGACGAAUAUUUCUUAUCCGCAGGUUGUGAGUAUCGCCAGGAGAUUGGAAGGCAUGCUUGCUCGGGAUAGAGAGGAGAGAGAGGCCAAGAGGCCUCGAGAGUCUAGCUCUUAUUAUGGUGCUCGUGCCCCAGUAUCUCGUCAUGGUAGGGGUUAUGUGAGUCGCCCCAUUCAUUCAGCUCUUCCAGCUGCCAGUGGUGUUCCAGCCCUUUCUAGGCCCCAAGAGCCUUAUUAUGCAUCGCCAGUAUCUAAUGUGCCUCCUACACGGGGUGUUCCCAGAGGCCAGUCCAGCAGACCUGGCUCGAGCCAGUGACAACAGUCACACCCUCCGAGAGCUUGUUUUGAGUGUGGCGACACUCGCCAUAUGGUGAGGGAUUUCCUCACACUUAGGUGGGGUGCACCUCCAUAGACUUCUCAGGCACAACGUGCUCCACCGGGUCUCAGGCUAUAAUUCCAGCACCAGCUACCGCCCCACCUACUCAGCCAGCUCGAGAUGGAGGUUGAGGUCACCCUAGAGAGAGAGGCCAGACCAGAUAUUAUGCUCAUCUGGCUCGUAGAGAGGCAAUUGCUUCCGAUUCUGUCAUUACGGGUAUUAUCCCGGUCUGUCGUAGAGAUGCGUCGAUAUUAUUAAAAAUUAAAAUUACCCUCCGAAAAAUAAUAAAUAUAUAUUAUGACCAUGAUAAAUGAGAACAGAGGCGUUUAGAUCCAUGCAAUAACUUAGUAAAGCCUAUUCAAAUUCUUGGUGUUGUUUUCUCCUUCCCGUACAUUACUACAAAUAAACUAUCUUAACCUCAAUAUUUGGUUAUUCACCUUCCAAUAAUUGUUACAAAUUCGUUCCUUUUUAACUUUAUAAAGUGGACAACUAAAUCAUCAACAACAACAACAACAAUUCACUAGUGGGUCUGGGGAGGGUAGUGUGUACCCAGACCUUACCCCUACCCGGGGUAGAGAGGCUGUUUCCAAAUGACCCUCGGCAUCCUUCCCUCCAAGAACUCCCCAACCUUGCUCUUGGGGUGACUCGAACUCACAACUUCUUGGUUGAAAGUGGAGGGUGCUUACCAUCACAGCAACCCGCCUUGUCUAAAGUAAAACAAUUCUUCCCCUGUCAAACCAUUGUCAAAUGGAAAAAUUCUUUUUGUUUCAUAAAAGAUACUUUUUUUUAUUAGCCAAAUCUGCUCACCAUUUGCAACAACAGCCCAUUUACAAGUCAAAUCAGGUAAUAUUUUUCCUUUUCCUAUUAGUUUUUAUGAGUGUUAUGCUAAUUCUAUAGUUUUUAUAUGUAUUUUUUCAUUAUUAUUGUCAUACAAUGAGUAUCUUUGUUUAUGAAAAUUAUUUGAAUAUACAAUAGAGUCCUAGCUAAUUUUCAUUAGGAAUAGUGCUUAUUUUUUACUUAAUUCCUUUUUAACGUAACCCGAAAAUUUAAUUUCAGGAAUUUGCUAAUUGUCGUCCAUUAGCGGCAGGGCGAAGUUGACCACCCUUCGUCGAAAUAUUACACUGUAUAUAUAGGUUAAAUAUUAGAUUUUAGUGGUAUAUGACAUAUAUUGGAUACUCUUGGGGAUUAUUUUUUACUUCAUUUAAAUUUGAACACCUAAAAUAAAAUUCCUAGCUUCGCCACUUAUUAGCGGACUUGACUUCUUUACAUCAUCUUGUUUUUUCAAUUUCACGGUAAAUAUCUUGGGAUGGGACAAUAUCCUAGUUGUUUCCUUCUAUUUUUUCUCUUUCAUUUGUGUUCUUUAUUUUGGUGUGGCUUGGUUCAUUCCGGGCAGUGGCGGAAGCAGAAUGUUAUUCAACACAUAAUAUAUUUAUUUAUACUAUUUUUUCUGUUUAUGUUUGUUGAGAUCAAUCGUGUUGUUUUUAAUAUAGUAAAAUAAAUUCUAUAAAGUUAUAAUAUAGUUUAUUAAUAUUAAUUUUAUUUUAUAAAAUUUUAUACAAUUAACAUGGAAUACACGUGCAAUGCACAUGUCCGGAAACUAGUAUUAUUAAAAUAAGAGGAAAAAGCCACCUUCUUAGGCCUAGUGGCAACAUUAAAAUUAGCCACAUGUGAUGUAUUAACUAAUAACUAAUUCAUCCAUAUGGCAUAACCAGAAAAAGUCAUAUACAACUUAUUUCUUAAUUAAUUAAUAACAAAUAACUAAAUCAAAAUAUUAAAAAAUUUAAUAAAAUAUCUAUCCAUAUUUUUAAAAGAAUAAUAUGAUACCACAUAAUGACAAAUGUAGAUUUUUAGGACAAAGCUCCAAAAAAGUUGGAGUUUAGUUAUUUUAUAAUAAAAAUGAAAUAUAAAAAAAAAGAACCGCCCAUUCAAAUUGGUGAGUAGUUUCAAGUUAGAGUUUUAAAAUAAAAAACGAAAAUAAUCAAGUAACGAAUAAAUAAACUUACUCACAAGAAAGAUAAAAAAAUUUAUUAUGAAAUUAUAGAAAUAAAAAUUAUUUGAAUUUGAGAUGAGAAAAUUUCUUUUAAAUUAUAAUGAGAAAAUUCAUGCAAAUAACAAAAUAUAACUAAAACCAUAAUAGAUAAGGUCAAAAAUAAAAAGAUAUAGAACAAUGUGUGAAUUUCAAGUAAAAGAAUAAUAAAUUAAUAAUCAACUUUUACAUGAGUAAGAAAUCUAUGUUAUAUUAAAAGAGGUAAUAAGCAAGGACAUUAAAUCUAAAGGCAAACUAUUAAAAAUUCACAUGAUAUGCAAUAAUACUAAGCAAUGAAUAAAGCAAUAACGAUAAUCGAGGAACUAAAGAAGAAAAAAUGGCAUAAAAUAUAAAAUGAUAAAAUGUAUUAGAAUUUUAAAUCAGAAAGCGUUUUUGAGUUUUAAUGACAAAAAUCAUACAUAUGUAAAAUAUCAUGUAAAUUAAAUCUUAAUAGAUAAAGUCAAAAAUAAAAAAUAUUAGGAUAAAAGAAUAUCAAGCAAUAAAGUAUAAUUUUAAAAGAUAGAUGACUUUAAUAAUUAAAUCUUAAAAAUCAAAAUUUUAAUAAAAAGUCAAAGGAGAAGAAAAACUUAAUUUCUUGGAAUAUAAUACAAAAAUAACAAUUAAUUAAAACAUUGGUAGAUUUAUAACUAAAAAAGAAAAAAAUAAUUUAUAUUUUUGACGAAUUCAAAUGAAGAUGUACAAUGGAAAAAACGUUNNNNNNNNNNNNNNNNNNNNNNNNNAUGAUUUAUAUUAUCCGCACAUACUAGUACUAGUAAUAAAUUUAAAAAAAAUGUUUGCAUGACGUCCUCCUCUCCUUCAACCACGCGCACGCAUCUUUUAACGAUGCACUUAAACAUCAAAUCUAGAAGACUAACAAGUCACAUAGUAUAAUUAAAGCAGUACAAUUAUGAUACCUACAAAUACAAAAUUUUCAGAGCCAAAUGAAAAUUAUUAAGUAAUCUUCAACAACUUCUGUAACGUUUCUAAGCUUCAACAAGUACUGUAACGUUCUCUAAUCUUCAACUACUUAUGUAACGUAAUAUCUCUGGCAUGGGUUUAUGAUUUGACUUCCUCUCUUUGUCUGAAAUAUUUUUCUUUGUUUACACAUUUGUUUCUGUUGAAAGCCAUCAAACAAUCAGAUCUUUUUCCCCUACAAAAAAUUUGAAAUUAGUUUUGCUUAAGUGGAUUGGUGUCUGCUAGUUAGAAAUACUAUGUUAUAGAUUUAACCAAACACAAUAAAAUGGUAAAAAAAACAAACACGAAAAUGAAAAAGACUCUUAUAGCUUCAAACCAUUUACCUUUAUCUCUGAAUAAUCAAAAAUCUGAAAUAACAAAAUUACGAUUUCAUAUUAAGAAGUUUUCACACAUAUCAUAUUACACAAUUAUGAUAUGUUUAUGUGUGGCUGUGCGUUGUGAUAAUUUUUUUUUUCUUUUUAGAGGAUGAAGUUUUGAAUAACAUUAAAUGGGGGAGUAGUAAUAUUGGAGAGCCCGUCGAAGCAUAUUUUUUAGUGUUGCUUCCUUCUUUUAGUUGUUUGCUUCUAUGAGUGUGAACCAAUAGAAAGGAUUUAAAAACUAGAAUCAGUUUCAAAAGUAAGAUAUACUCUUAUUAAUUACAUAGUUUUCAUGUUCUACCUAUAAAAAGGUAGUAUCUAUUUGAAAUUUGUUGAGGACGGCUUAAAUUUGAGAGUGAAAAAUGGUGAAGAGGGGCGUUUUAAUAUUGCUUUUGUCUACAUUUUUAGUUGGGAGCAUUUAAAGUAGGCAAUUGGCCGAGAAUGGUUGCAUAGCUAAGAAAGACUGUGAUGUAAGAGAAAUAGGUGAAGGAGCUAAGACAGGUAGGAGGAGCAAUGGGCUUGGUGUAUCUGGACAAGAAUAUGGGUCGGGUCAAAAAUACAGUUAUGUGCCUAUUGGACCUAUACCAGAAUAUGGUAAUAUUCCCGGUGGCACACCAUUUACUGGAGGACCUGGACUAGGAUAUGGUGUUGCUCCAGGUAUACCUUUAUUAGGAGGACCUGACACCGUUGGUAUACCGUCUAUAGGAGGAUUACCUGGUCAAGGAUACAAUGGUAUUCCAAUUGGAGGAGGAGGACUUGGGCUUGGAUAUGGUAGUAUUCCAGGUAUACCUUUGAUCGAGAGACCCGAUAAAGGAUAUGGUGUUUUUCCUGGUAUACCAUUGUUAGGAGGAGGACCUAAUGGUGUUCUUCCCGGUAUACCAUUGUUAGGAGGAGGACCUAAUGGUGUUGAUAGGAGGAGGUGGAGGAAUUGGUGGAGGAGUUGGAGGAGGAAUUGGUGGAGUAGGAGGUGGUGUUGGAAAGCGAAUAAGCGGAUGGGGAGGCGGCGGCGACAGUGGUGGUGGUGGUGGAGGAGGAUUUGGACUGGGUGGAGGCUUUGGAGGAGGUGGUGGUGCCGGUGGUGGUUCUUAUGUUAACACCGAUAUGAUCAAUAGUAAGCAUCAUUGACAUGUAAUAAUCUUGAAGUGAAACUCAAAUUUGGAAAUAAAAGAUACUCUGUUCUUCUUUAAUAUGCAUGAAGUUGUUACUAUAAUUUGUUUUCAAGUGAACUUCAUUUUAUUUAUUUAACCGUUUUUCAUUAGAACAAUUGACUCUAGGUGAUAUUUCUAUGCUUAGACGUUAUUUAGUGGUAAAAUUAUCUCCAAUUAGUUACCGAGUAAUCAUCACUAGUUACAAUUAGCUAUAAAUGGUUGCCCAACUAGGAUUCUCUUUUUUCUCUUUACAUUCUGCACUCCCCGUGUAGGUUAGGAAAGGGCUAGUUUUGUUUAAAUGGGGUGAAAUUUUUGUGCCAAGACAUUAAAGUUAGCAUCUACUACUAGUUUUUUUGAACUUAACAGAAAUUCGUUCUUCUCAGGUAUUGAUUAAUCAUACUAUUUAAGAUAUUAAAUAAAGAACUACUUAAUUUUAUAUAACUUGCUUGAACCAACAUAUCCACAAUUAGACAAUGUUGUCAGUUUUGAGAAAAUCAUUAAACACCAUCCUUGUACCCUUUCCACCUACUUUCAUACCAUAUCAAAUGCAGAAAAUUAUUACAUAUUAUUUCCAGAGUAAAAUGAUUCCAUACCAAAAGAACCUUAGGUCUAGGGACUAAGUAAGCGUUUUAGCAAAAAAUACACAUACACAAUAAUGUAUUUUAAGCUUUAACUAAGUAAAUGUUUUAGCAAAAUGCAAUCUCAUACAUAGUCAACGUUUUAAGUUUUAACUAAGUAAACGUUAUAGCCAACACCUCGUCUUAGCCAGAAGAGCACAAAUCUGUGCAGGUAUACUAUGCAAAAGACUGAAUAAUCCAGUGACAAGAACAACCCACUAUAAUCCCAAUAGUGGAAUCUGGGGAGCGUAGUGUGUACGCAGACCUUAUCCCUACCCUGGGGUAGAGAGGUCGUUUCCGAUAGACCCUCGGCUUCAUCCCUCCAAGAACUCUCCACCUUGCUCUUGGGGUGACUCGAACUCACAACCUCUUAGUUGGAAGUGGAAUGUGCUUACCACUAAAGCAACCCACUCUUGCCUUUUGCCUUGCUACAAUACAUUAAAGCUGUGUAAAAAACUUUUCUAAGGAUCCAUUACAACAAUUACAUCUCAACCCACCAAUCUGGGGAUCACUAUGGAUAUAUAUGAAUAAGGUACAACAUUUAUAUCUCCUAAAUCUUACAUUUGGAAAAAUUGUUCUACAGUGCCCGCCCUUCUAUAAUUCUUCUCCAAGUGGAAGAAUAUAAAAUCAGCUUGGAUAUACAGUAGGGAAGAAACAGAAACUGUUUGUUUGCUAAAAAAAUGAUACAACAUGGAUAAACGUUGAAGAAGAAGCCAACAGUUCACCCCAACCAAUGAGUUUUCCAGUGUAAAAGAACCCAUCUACCACUUCACCGCCACAACCUGCACUCCAGAUUUAGCCAACACUUGGGCAGAGUGCAGCUUGUUAGGCUCAUCGCUUUUGAUUCAUCGCCAGCAGUCGAAGAGUUCAUUUGCUGAGGCAUGAGUAUCACCGCUGAGAGCAUACUUAUUCCCCUUCUGCACCACGCCCAUGCAAGAAAGGUUAAUGGCCAAUUUUUUGUGAUCCAAAAUUUGUGGGGGUUGGGGAAGGAGGGGGGACAAGCAGGAUAUUUAACACAUAACAACCUCAAUUCAGCAGUGUAUCAAAAUGAGCAGUUAGUAUUUGAAAGCUCU
rnacentral:lncRNA from 1 species